rnacentral:rRNA from 1 species
UGUAACGCUGGCCGGCAGGACUUAACACAUGCCAAGUUGCGAGGCGGGGGUAGGUUGCAUUCGUUUAACUGACGCUAGACGGCGGCACGGGUGAGUAAUGCUUAGGAAUCUGCCUAUUAGUGGGGGACAACAUUCCGAAAGGGAUGCUAAUACCGCAUACGCCCUACGGGGGAAAGCAGGGGAUCUUCGGACCUUGCGCUAAUAAGAUGAGCCUAUUUCGGAUUAAACUAUAUUGGUGGGGUAAAGGCCCCCUUUGCGACGAUCUGUAGCGGGUCUGAGAGGAUGAUCCGCCACACUGGGACUGAGACACGGCCCAGACUCCUACGGGAGGCAGCAGUGGGGAAUAUUGGACAAUGGGCGAAAGCCUGAUCCAGCCAUGCCGCGUGUGUGAAGAAGGCCUUUUGGUUGUAAAGCACUUUAAGCGAGGAGGAGGCUACUUGGAUUAAUACUCUAGGAUAGUGGACGUUACUCGCAGAAUAAGCACCGGCUAACUCUGUGCCAGCAGCCGCGGUAAUACAGAGGGUGCGAGCGUUAAUCGGAUUUACUGGGCGUAAAGCGUGCGUAGGCGGCUUUUUAAGUCGGAUGUGAAAUCCCUGAGCUUAACCUAGGAAUUGCAUUCGAUACUGGGAAGCUAGAGUAUGGGAGAGGAUGGUAGAAUUCCAGGUGUAGCGGUGAAAUGCGUAGAGAUCUGGAGGAAUACCGAUGGCGAAGGCAGCCAUCUGGCCUAAUACUGACGCUGAGGUACGAAAGCAUGGGGAGCAAACAGGAUUAGAUACCCUGGUAGUCCAUGCCGUAAACGAUGUCGACUAGCCGUUGGGGCCUUUGAGGCUUUAGUGGCG